GAGAGCACGCACACUAGCAUCUCUCCCUUCCGGACAAAUCCAGGAUUGGAGAAUAGCGCUUUUCAGGCUACCGCUUUUUGCCAGCUGUGGGCUGGUGGUAGUUGGGCGGAAGGAACCCGCGGGCAGGGGAGCCCAAAUCUCCUCCUGCUCUUCUAGUCUACUCCACUCCACGCUCCUUGCCUUCGUUGCUAGGUUUUGUACCUAAGCUCCCUCACCCCGCUUAAUAAACACCGCCGAGUUGCUAGGCAACCAGCAGGGCGAAGCAGCGCGCUUUAUCCAACUGCUCCCGCAUGACAUCAUUUACCCUCCUUGGAGAGCUAUAAAUAGACAGGACUAUUGCGCCGGCGCAAAGGGCUUCUGCGGUCAACGAUGAGUCAUAGCGGCAGAAGGGAAAGAAAGCGUUUGCAGCCCCGCCCCCUUAUGAGUCAUUACCAGCGGCGGAACUAGUCGCGCGGAGAUGAAGGUACCGCCUCCCUGUCAAGGACGGAGGGGGUGACGCCAUCCGCUUCCCGGAAUGUCGAUGACGCGCCUGCGUUAAGGAGGGACGGAGAAAGCCUGGAAUGUUCAUUGGAGUAGCGAACCCUUAAAGGGAUUACGACCCUUUCCUUGCUUUUUGAUGCUCGGAGCAGAAGGAAGCAAUAGUUAAAAGCAUAUGAAUUAAAGCUGGAUUCCAAGUA